CAAUUUUCCGAUUGAGACUACUUGAACCGUCACUGAAUUACAUUUUUAUUGUUCUUACAUUGUUAUAAGUAUUUAUUUAUUACGCUUUACAUUGGAUGGAGUCGUUUUUUGAUAAGCUACCCUACGUAAAUUCAUGUUGUUUUUUCAUACCUUUGAAAUAUGGAUGUGGUAUUAUAGCAGUUUACUAUAUGAUCUGGGGUGCUGUAAUAGGCCCCGACUAUGGCAGAGGAACGGUCCUUUCAGUCACCGUCGGAAAUAAAACCAAGAAUUACACGCAAUACACGUGCUUCGCAGGCAGUGAGAAAGAGAAAUGCGCUCAAUAUAAGAUAUUUAACAGUAUCUUAGUACUGUUAUUGAUUAUCAUUUACCAAAUCUCAAUACGGGUUGCCAGUUUGGUGUUGCUCGUCGGCAUUUAUAUUAAUAAUGUUAUGACUACUCUAUCUUUUUUAUACGUCUACGCUAUUGCUACGAUCUUUGAUAUAAUUGUCUUCAUUAUGAUAAUGGGGAUUGGUAUAUUGGGCAACUGUCCGACAACAGCAGUGAGCAAGCUAUCAUGUAUAGUUUCGUUAAUAUGUUUACUUAUUGGGAGUUUUUAUAUACUUAUCAUUGUAAACAGUUUAAAAACACAAUUUCAAGAUGAGUGAUGAAAAGGGGUAAUGAGAUUUUGACAAUGAUGUAAUUUUUGAUAAGAGCUUUAAUCUUCUGAUAUCAUAUUGCAUUCAAACCUCUGAAUAAGAAAUAAAAUCUGCCUUGACGCUCUAAACUUGCGUGUUAUUUACUAGAGAGAGACCUUGCAGUAAGUACAACAUCCACCAAGUACCUAUACGAACCUAUUGGGUACAGCACUUUGGUUGAUUAUUUGAUGGUGACUCAUAAGUACAUUACAACUACAAGUAUAUCUAGGGGCUUACCAUCAUCUCUUAACGCGAUCCACUUUACCACCUAAACUGAACUGCAUCGCAAAUUCGUACCAUCGACUUAAUUUUUUCUAUGAAUGCGAUUCAUUUUAGGUGCCUUGCAUUGAAAUCGUAUUGAUGGUAGGCCUUCUGGUAUAAAUACAUCUUUUAAGAGUGUAUAUGUAUACACUAAUUAUAUAACGAUAAAGUAUAGUGCCCAGCCCAACUUAUCGGUAAUGUGGUAAGUGUAAUCUUUAAUCAGUGCAUUAAAACUAAAAUUAGUUUAAUUUUACAAAUUUCUGACAAAAUAGUCAUGUGCGUAUAGUAUUAGGCCAUGCAUAUUAUAUUGACACAUUGGUCGUCUAAAAACUAAACAUGUAUAAGUACAAAAUUUUAUCUCUAUUAUUUAUCGGGGCUGAUGAGGGUUCAAAAAACCGGCGAAACGGUAAAAAUACCAUAGUAACUAGAAUCUCGAUAAAGUUAUGUGUGCCUUUUAGCGUUUUGUUUGGCUCGUGUUGGUUGGGACCACUUUGGGACACUGUCGUGACCGCAGAUAUAUUAAAUAACAAACAAAUAAAUGUACGUUACAAUACAACUUUUCCAUUGAAAUAAACAAUUUGA